UUUUCCUUACUGUGUCAGUGGAUGAAAUUCAGCCUCGAGCUGCACCCAUCAGAUACACUCCCUCUUAUUCAUUACUGUUUCCUCCUACUUGCUCCACACAUUGCCAUACAUUUGGUCUGUUAGGAGUUCCUCCUUGACACUUCCACCUCUACUUCCCCAUAAUCUGUGCAACUACCCUGGGAAAGGCACAAUGCUUUCUCCUGUCACAAUAUUGAGAAAAAUUGAAAUGGGGAAGAAAGACCACCAGAUGCUUUAUUGUCUUAGGCGUUUCCACAUAAUUAGCUGGGAAUAAAGGUCCUCUGCAUGGUUUCAUUGCA